AAUUAGGGCUCGUGGGGAAUUUAAACCUUGAGCGAUGCCUGACAGCCAGCACUGUUUUACAGACUGCCGCCCCCAAGACCAGAGGAAAUCGCAACAGGGCUGCUUUGCAAGCUAGUCCUUAGCCUCCACUACAUCUACAUCACCUGGUGUCAAGGGAGGAGGCCAAUAAGAUCUUUAGGGGCCUCAGCCACCCGAGACGCGGCAUGUUUACUCAUGUCCCCAUAAAAAUACAUGUUGGAAGACUGGACGAGGUGACUGGCUUCUACCCCUGCAGUAGUUCUACGGCAUGUAGAGAUUCCUGUAAAAAAAACAAAGCUAAAGUGGCUUCCAAGAAGUAGGACAUCAAGGUGAGGACACUCACUGCUGAAGGCACCCACAAUGAUGCUUCUGUUUCUCUUCAUCCUCCCCCUCAUCCUUAUAUUUCAUGAGUUGACUACGGCAGGGGGUCUCAAAGUGGGGUCUGCAGGGGGUCCAUGGCUAAAGUGGCUUCCAUGAAGUGGGAAACAUCCAGAAGGAUGAGAACAUCACCUCUCGAGAUGCUCACGGCUGCUGUUUCUCUUCUUUUUUCCCCAUCCCUCCUUUCACUCUAACCCCACUCCCACCUGUUUUAUCUUCAGUAAAUGUCUUUUUUUGCUA